rnacentral:rRNA from 1 species
GCUCAACCGAGGAAGUGCUUCGAAAACUGGUAAACUUGAGUGCAGAAGAGGAAAGUGGAACUCCAUGUGUAGCGGUGGAAUGCGUAGAUAUAUGGAAGAACACCAGUGGCGAAGGCGGCUUUCUGGUCUGUAACUGACGCUGAGAUUCGAAAGCAUGGGUAGCAAACAGGAUUAGAUACCCUGGUAGUCCAUGCCGUAAACGAUGAGUGCUAAGUGUUGGAGGGUUUCCGCCCUUCAGUGCUGCAGCUAACGCAUUAAGCACUCCGCCUGGGGAGUACGACCGCAAGGUUGAAACUCAAAGGAAUUGACGGGGGCCCGCACAAGCGGUGGAGCAUGUGGUUUAAUUCGAAGCAACGCGAAGAACCUUACCAGGUCUUGACAUACCAUGAAAAGCUUAGAGAUAAGUCUUUCCCUUCGGGGACAUGGAUACAGGUGGUGCAUGGUUGUCGUCAGCUCGUGUCGUGAGAUGUUGGGUUAAGUCCCGCAACGAGCGCAACCCUUAUUAUCAGUUGCCAGCAUUCAGUUGGGCACUCUGGUGAGACUGCCGGUGACAAACCGGAGGAAGGUGGGGACGACGUCAAAUCAUCAUGCCCCUUAUGACCUGCGCUACACACGUGCUACAAUGGUCGGUACAACG